AUCAGGAGGCUGGAUGUGCCCUGCAAGUGACAGCAACAGCUCACUAUAGGUGUCAAGACGAUCCCAGAUGCGACGAAGAAGGGCAUGCGUCACUUGAUGGGAUGCAGAGAGCGAAUCCAAAAGAGCCUGUUGCUCAAUGGAGAAACCACCAGAAGAACAGUGAGCAUCGCUGCGGUGUAAAGUGGCCCGGUUGUUGACUUUGAUGGCGUCGGAGGAGCCAAUGUCAUCUGUCAGCAGGGCAGGGACACCAGCAUGAGCAGCCAAGGCGGUGAUAAUCCGAGGAAGAACAAGACUGGAAGUUGGAACGGUGGCAUUUGCAGCACCAGCGACAAUGAGGCUUUCACGAACAUAGAACUCAACACUUACAGAUUGCUCAAAUCACAAGCUGGAAAAGAACUCAACACUUACAAAUUGCUCAACACUUUCGACCUAACUGCACAGCUUAAACACCCAAAGUAAAACGC
rnacentral:lncRNA from 1 species